GAAGAAAACUGCACUUUCUGGAUUGUUCUGGGUUUGUUGCCUCACGGUUGUUGCACUUAUUGUGAGUCGCUUUAGAUAAAAGCAUCGGCUAAAUGACACGUACAUGGUCACAUGACCUCUGCAGCAGAGGUAGCAUGUCACCUCCUGUCGGCUGCUCCACCCCCUACCUGAACAAUGAUCUGAAGAGGAGUCUCCACCAGUUGAACCAUAGCAAAGGUGAAGUUUUAAAACUGAAACACAUCAGAGUGGACGGCGCCAAAUUAUUAAUUCUGUUUCCAGUAGAAACUUCUUUGAGGCUUAAUUCAUCCUGUGUUAGUUUAUAUAACAGUACAGUUGUCUCAAUAACAGACGUUUCAUCUUCUUGUCCACUGAUUCAAACAAGAGAAACUCAGGAGACACCGACUGUCUCACUCUGCAUAUUUAACAUUUCAGUCUCUCAGUCAAAUCAAUGAACACGUCUGAAUUUCUUCACAGUGACUCAUCCUGACAUUUCUGGCUCUGGCUUUACCACAAAAAUCCAAAAUAUCUUGUGUGUUAAUGUCGGCUUAUCGUCGUCUGACUAAACACUUUCCUCACAUCUGCCUCGCUCUGGAAUUCUAUCUGUGCAUAACUAACAUUUUUAAACAUCUCAUUUUGCUAACUUUUACAGAUCCUUCCUUAUGUCUGCUCCUCUAUGAACCUCGACACACUGGAGGCAGUGACUCGACAACAGGCAGGCUUUUACAGAGACAAAGAAAGAAACUGAACUCAUGUGUAGAUGUGACGUUCAGGUGGAAUUGGAACAUUCAGGAUGAUUGACCCGACGUCCUCUCGACUGAAGAAACCCAGUCAGAGAGAGGAGGAAUGUUCCUGAACCCGCCCCACGAUGACUGACAGCACGGACAGCCAACAGGGAGCGGCCGCAGCGUUGACCGACAAACAGUAGACCAAUCAGGACAGAGAACCCGCCUUGACGUCAUAAAGUAGCCCCGUUUAUAUUUUUCCUUUAAAAAUGAGAGUACGGAUUUAUUUUUGUACAAAGUGAUGACGUCAUAUUAAAGGUUAAUUUACAAUAUCAUUAGGCUUUACAAGGAACAUCAAUAUGAAUUUAGUUACAUCAUGUUUUCAAU